CUUGAUGAUAUUUUUUGCUGGGUGUCAUUGGCUAAGGAAGUAGAGCUAGUCAGUCAUCCAGAAACUGGAAUAUUGGCGGUUCGAUCCUUGCUCCCUCCACCCAGUAGUCGCUCUUGUGUCCCCUGACAAAGAUACUUCACCCACCUUGUCUCCAGAGCGGCCCACACUGGUGUAUGAAUGUGAAUGAAUGUUUCUUGGUGGUCGAAGAGGCCAUAGGCGUAAAUUGGAAACCAUUUUUCCAGCAGUGUACUACAGGGCAGCUGUGGCUACGGAUGUUGAUUCCACCACUUGUGUGUAACUGAGGAGUGAAUGGAUAAUGGCUUCACUUCAUUGUGAAGCACUUUGAGUAUCUUGUAAAAAGGUAUGGUUCUAAUUAAUAUUAACCCUUCCUUCACCUUGUUUAUUAAAACAUUUUUGAAAUAAGGAAGCUUGGCCACGUCAAGGGGUUUUCAUGAGACCGUUACUGCAUGUUGUGGGGGGUUUGGCAGUUUAACUGUCACUUGCGGCCCUGACUUGUGUGUUUGCUGUCUGUUCAUCCAUCUUGUAAUGUAUUGGCAUGGUGGUGUUGUGGCGCAACCCCGGGAUGCGAGGAAUGACACUCGAUUGCAGGCAAGAACAGAACAGGGCAACACAAAAACAUGGCAUUGACACAGGAGCGCAGGUGGAUAACGUGCAACUAAGAGACAAACUGGAGAUUGCCUUGGUCUGGACGGAAACAGGAUGACAUGGAGCAGAAGCGGGAUGCGUCUUUUCCACCAGACACUGACGAAGCAGCAGAAGAGGCAAAUUGUGCCUUCUGGCUUGCUGCAGUGAGCCCUGCGUCUUGACCAACAAGAAAGGGAGCAGAUUGUGCUUCCUCUAACGCACAGCAGAUGGCACCAUCUGGUGAAGGGGUGUCACACAGUAUGUUGAUACAAUAUGUUACCUAUUCUCCCUAGUCCUCUCCCUAGUCCUCUCCCUAGUCCUCUCCCUAGUGCUCAGUGUAGUUGCAUGUAGGUGUACACAGAUAUUUUUUGAAGUCGUUGCUCAGUUAUUUGUGUAAUGAUUUCAGUUUGUUCAUGUGGAACAAAAAACAGUGUACCUGUUAGAUCCGAGUGGAUAUGCUGCAGAAAAGAAGGCGUCAAAAAUGGCUGCAAACAAAACUAAAGUAAAUAUUUAUGCUUACAACUCACAUUAUGUAAAAUAAUACAUGUUUUUCCAGGGAAUACCUGCACAUGAGAAGGGUGCGCCACAAAGCAAAAGACUGGAUUGAUAUUGAUUGGGAAGGGGCGGUGAUGAAACAUCCACUGCAAAAGGAUGGAAGCAGUUGUGGUGUCAUCGUAGCCAAGGUAAUUUACGGGAUACAAUUGAGCAUAAUUGGACUUGAAACCUACUCUAUUAACAAAAUUAUGUCUAGAUGGCAAAGGAAAUUAUUCAGACGUUUCUAAGGAUCCCCAAUAUAAUGUUUUCUACAACGACAGACAGCAUGAGAACUGAAAGAAAAACAAUGGCCCUUGAACUUCUGCAGGGAUCAGUUUUCCAAAUGGAUUCCUGGUGUGUGAUCUGUGCCUCCAAAGACCCACCUACAUCUACUGCUGCCACAGCUACAUAGACUGUGAAGAGUGAUACUGGUUGGAUUUAAUGUGACAUAUGUGACCGGUGGUUUCACGGGGAAUGCGUUGGAAUAAAAAUUGACGAUCUCAAGAAAGCGGAAGAUAAUCACUGGCUUUGUCCUCUGUGC